UGUUGGCUGCUUCCAUGGCAACACAGCCUUCAGCUGGCCAGCCUGAAUGGUUUAGCUCUGUUCAUUGUUGAAGAAUUGAGAAACCUCCCAGCCAGCACUGGCAAUUCUGAAAGAGCAGAAUUGUUUUAAAUACAGAGUGACAACUAAUUUGUGAAGACUGCCCACCGCAUAUCCCCCUAGCCACCUGCUGAAGUUCAUGAGACCAUCAACUGAUUGGAUGAGGCCCACCUACACUGGGAAGUGCUGUCUGCUUUACUCAGCCCACUAGUUCAAAUGUUAUUCUCAUCCAGAGACACCUGCACAGACACACCCAGAAUAAUGUUUGACCAAAUAUCAGGAAACCCCCUGGCCCAAUCAAGUUAAAAUGAUGUAUAUUUUGUUAUGUAUACCAAAAAAAUUUGUUUUAUGGUAUGUAUAUUAUGGUAUGCAUAAUUUAGCACAAUAAAAAAAUAUGAAGAAGAAAAAUGCAUUUCUUUUCAGAGUUCAACACACUGAAGCCUGGAAAUUUUUCAUUUACUCCUAAAUUUGGAAAGCAAGAUUUCUCAGUCUGCUCUAAACUUGGCAGAAAUUCUUUUGUCCCUGAUUACCCUCAGUUGGACCCAAUACGGGUUGUUGCUCUUCCACAUGUAACAGUUUCAUUUGUGCAACAUUAAACUUGGAAAGAACAGCCAAAACUCCCACCCUG